UACGUAGGGGGGCAAGCGUUGUCCGGAUUUAUUGGGCGUAAAGAGCGUGUAGGCGGCUUUACAGGUCCGUUGUGAAAACUCGAGGCUCAACCUCGAGACGCCGGUGGAAACCGUAAGGCUAGAGUCCGGAAGAGGAGAGUGGAAUUCCUGGUGUAGCGGUGAAAUGCGCAGAUAUCAGGAAGAACACCCGUGGCUAAGGCGGCUCUCUAGUACGGUACUGACGCUGAGACGCGAAAAGCGUGGGGAGCAAACAGG
rnacentral:rRNA from 1 species